rnacentral:rRNA from 1 species
AGGGUUUGAUCAUGGCUCCGAGUGAACGCUGGCGGCGUGCUUAACACAUGCAAGUCGAACGAGAACGGAUUAUAGCUUGCUAUAAUUGUCAGCUAAGUGGCGCACGGGUGAGUAAUGUAUAGGUAAUAUGCCUCUUACUAAGGGAUAACAAUUGGAAACGAUUGCUAAUACCUUAUACUGCUUAUUAACCUAAGUUAAUAAGGGAAAGAUUUAUUGGUAAGAGAUUAGCCUGUAUUGUAUCAGUUAGUUGGUGGGGUAAUGGCCUACCAAGACUAUGACACAUAACUGGUUUGAGNGGAUGAUCAGUCACACUGGAGGCGUAAAGAGCAUGUAGGCGGAUUGAUAAGUUUGAAGUGAAAUCCUAUAGCUUAACUAUAGAACUGCUUUGAAAACUGUUAAUCUAGAAUGUGGGAGAGGUAGAUGGAAUUUCUGGUGUAGGGGUAAAAUCCGUAGAGAUCAGAAGGAAUACCGAUUGCGAAGGCGAUCUACUGGAACAUUAUUGACGCUGAGAUGCGAAAGCGUGGGGAGCAAACAGGAUUAGAUACCCUGGUAGUCCACGCCCUAAACAGGUGCUGCACGGCUGUCGUCAGCUCGUGUCGUGAGAUGUUGGGUUAAGUCCCGCAACGAGCGCAACCCUCGUGUUUAGUUGCUAACAGUUCGGCUGAGAAAUCUAAACAGACUGCCUACGCAAGUAGGAGGAAGGUGAGGACGACGUCAAGUCAUCAUGGCCCUUACGUCCAGGGCUACACACGUGCUACAAUGGGAUAUACAAAGAGCCGCAAUACGGUGACGUGGAGCAAAUCUUAUAAAAUAUCUCCCAGUUCGGAUUGUAGUCUGCAACUCGACUACAUGAAGUUGGAAUCGCUAGUAAUCGUAGAUCAGCUAUGCUACGGUGAAUACGUUCCCGGGUCUUGUACUCACCGCCCGUCACACCAUGGGAGUCGAACUCAUUCGAAGCGGGGAUGCUAAAAUAGCUACCUUCCACAGUGGAUUUGGCGACUGGGGUGAAGUCGUAACAAGGUAACCGUAGGAGAACCUGCGGUUGGAUCACCUCCUUUCU